AUGAAUAUACGUUUAAAAUAAGCAAAUACUAAAAGUGCACACUGACAGUUGAUUACGAUACAUCUAACAAUUUGAGUCAUUACAGUAAAACAAGUGAAUUAUACGCGUAAAAGAAGAUUUUCUGUCGAAAAAACUAAUGUCAACAAUCAGCAUGGAACUGGGAUAUUCGUAUCAAAGGGCUAUUCAUGCAGGAAAAUGACUGAAUAUUACUAUUAUAUGAAGAAUUCCAGCCUGCAUUAAAUACUUUGUUGGAUCAUUGAGACAGAUUUGACAUCCAUGUCUAUCCACAAGGCAGUCACAUCUGAUAGAGAUGAUCACUAAACAUUCUAGAUGGGUAAAGAACCUGAAGGGGCAUGAAAACCAAAUCAGCAUUGACUCAGCAUUGAGUAAUUAUCAUCUGUGCA